rnacentral:rRNA from 1 species
GGUCACUGCUAUUGGGAUUCGACUAAGCCAUGCGAGUCGAGAGGGUUCGGCCCUCGGCUGACGGCUCAGUAACACGUGGAUAAUCUGCCCUUAGGUGGAGAAUAACCUCGGGAAACUGAGAAUAAUACUCCAUAGAUCUAGAAGGCUGGAAUGCAUCUAGAUUAAAAGCUCUGGCGCCUAAGGAUGAGUCCGCGGACUAUCAGGUUGUAGUCAGGGUAAUGACCUGACUAGCCUACGACGGAUACGGGUUGUGAGAGCAAUAACCCGGAGACGAUAUCUGAGACACGAUAUCGGGCCCUACGGGGCGCAGCAGGCGCGAAAACUUCACACUGUGCGAAAGCACGAUGAGGGGAUCCCAAGUGCUGGUUCGAAAGAGUCAGCUGUUUCUUUGUCUAAAAAACAUAGAGAGUAAGAGCUGGGUAAGACGGGUGCCAGCCGCCGCGGUAAUACCUGCAGCUCGAGUGGUGGCCGCUAUUAUUGGGCCUAAAACGUCCGUAGCCGGCUUAGUAAAUGCUUGGGUAAAUUGUGUAGCUUAACUAUACGAAUUCCGGGUAGACUGCUAGGCUUGAGAUCGGGAGAGGCUAGAGGUACUCCUGGGGUAGAGGUGAAAUUCUGUAAUCCUAGGGGGACCACCAGUGGCGAAGGCGUCUAGCUAGAACGAGUCUGACGGUGAGGGACGAAGCCCUGGGGCGCAAACCGGAUUAGAUACCCGGGUAGUCCAGGGUGUAAACGCUGCUUGCUUGAUGUUAGUUGGGCUCCGAGCCCAACUAGUGUCGGAGAGAAGUUGUUAAGCAAGCUGCCUGGGAAGUACGAUCGCAAGAUUGAAAC